ensembl:miRNA
GCCUCCACUCCUGGGCUAUGUUGCUGACCCAACCUGAAACCCUUCUUUAGGGUGAGUCAGCAACAUAUCCCAUGACUUUUGGGU